AUCACUUCUCGGCCUUUUGGCUAAGAUCAAGUGUAGUAUACAGACACUAGUCACUGAAUUUAGAGCCCACUCCAAUAAUUCAGCAUCAAUCUACUCAUCUGAAAUCCCUAAUACAGAGGAAACUUGUUUUCCCAAUGAGGUCCUAGUCUCAGAUUCCAAGGAUUAGGCUUUGG
ensembl:snRNA U2 U2 spliceosomal RNA